AAACAUGAAGAUGGCUGAAGAGCCCAGUCUUCACUUUUAAAAUUCCUCCAUUAAUCAUUUCUAUGAACACGAAGAUGGCUAAGGAGUCCAGUCUUCGCUUUUAAAAUUCCUCCGUUAAUCAUUCCUAUAAACACGAAGAUGGCUAAGGAGUCCAGUCUUCGCUUUUAAAAGUCCUCCGUUAAUCAUUCCUAUGAACACGAAGAUGGCUAAAGAGUCCAGUCUUCGC